GAAGCAUAAAUUUUUGUCUCAGAAAAAUAUCCGGACCAUGAUUCUGCUUCUUACUCCCAUUUUUCUCCUUAUUGUUAUCCCUGAUUGGCGUGUGAUCCUUAUCAAUUCAACUGUUAGGAUCCAGUUUCCUUGACCUAUCUUUGUGUUUGUUCUUUUUAUGCUUUGAUGCACCUGAAGGUAACCCUAUACCUGCCAAUGGAAGAUCAAUAGAUGAUGUUUCUCUGAGCCGAAAAGUAUCCGUGAGUAUAUCCAAGACAAAAGGAAUGCAAGUGUACACAUCUGUGUCCCUCAUAGGAAGAGCUUUUCGACAGCUGAUCUAGUUUCAUCCCUGCACCUCUCCUCAUUUC
rnacentral:misc_RNA from 1 species